GGAGAGAUGCCGGAGCGGUCGAACGGGGCGGUCUCGAAAACCGUUGAUCUAGGUAACUGGAUCCGAGGGUUCGAAUCCCUCUCUCUCCG
rnacentral:tRNA from 1 species